AGUGAACGCUGGCGGUAGGCCUAACACAUGCAAGUCGAACGGCAGCACAGUAAGAGCUUGCUCUUACGGGUGGCGAGUGGCGGACGGGUGAGGAAUACAUCGGAAUCUACUUUUUCGUGGGGGAUAACGUAGGGAAACUUACGCUAAUACCGCAUACGACCUACGGGUGAAAGCAGGGGAUCUUCGGACCUUGCGCGAUUGAAUGAGCCGAUGUCGGAUUAGCUAGUUGGCGGGGCAAAGGCCCACCAAGGCGACGAUCCGUAGGUGGUCUGAGGGGAUGGUCCGCCACACUGGAACGGAGGCACGGUCCAGACUCCGGCGGGAGGCAGCAGUGGGGAAUAUUGGGCAAUGGGGGCAAGCCGUAUCCAGGCAUACCGCGGGGGGUAAGAAGGCCUUCGGGGUGGUAAGCCCCUUUGGUGGGAAAAAAAAGCAGCAGGUUAAGACCCCGCGUUUCUGACGGUACCCAAAGAAGAAGCACCGGCUAACUUCGUG
rnacentral:rRNA from 1 species